UUCCCCGAUGUGGCCCUUGGGUCAAAAUGUUCGUCCACCACUGGUUUAGAUGGAAAGAGGAUGGUAUUUUGGGUAAAAUUUUGGGAUGUGGUUGUAAUGUAACCUUUCUUUAUGAAAAAUCCUAUAUGGGGGUAUGCCACGAGUGCUCCAGUUUCACCAACCUGCCAGGUGGAGGUGACAGCAACAAGAAAUGUUGUUUUCACGAAUAUAUGAACAUAGGAGCACGUUGCCAUUGGUUUGAAAGGUGGUCUAGUAAGAUGACAUAGCACAGGGCCAGGGUCCCUAGCUGGGGUCAGAGCCCAUAUAUGAGAGUAAAGAUUUUGGAUACCUUUUAGGAUCUUUUUGUGAGCGGGUGGGUAAACACGGAGUGGCUGUCUAUCUCAGGAUGAAAGGUCAUGAUGGUUGCCAAGUGCACACAAAUGGAGCUGAUGGAUAACCCCAAUCUUUUAAGGUGUAAAAUAUAGUUCAGGAUAAGCGGUAAUGGGGAACUUAUUGUUUCUACCUGAUUGGAGGCACACCAGGAGUGGAAUCUAGUCCAUUUGUGGAGGUAAGUGCGUCUUGUUGUAUUAUGUCCGCUAUUCAAGAGGACUUCUUUAACUGUUUCUGAACAAGUUAUCUCCGAAUCCCAGAACCAGGGAGGGGCCAUGCCUUCACCUGGAGUAGCUGUGAAUUGGGAUGGAAGAUUCAACACACAUGCUGUGAAAGGAGUCGGCCACAGAGUGAUCAUGCGAAUAAGCGCCAAAGAGAUGACCGGGGAAAUACCAACCUCCCCGACGCUCCUGACCACCACAAUUCACUCCUCAUCAACAGUACAACACCCAACGCCAUCAACAAAAGCCCCAUACCAAAAGCAGAUGUACGAUUCCUCAAGGAGCUACCUCUCACACACCUUCGACCAAACAACAAUUUUGAAGGAACUGGAAGCAAUUGGACUUAUUUGGUCACAAGGCUUAUUCAUCCGCUAUGCUCCAAUCCUGCAUAUUCAAGAACGAGAAGGGAAAGAAAUAACUAUUGAACUACACUAAAAACUAACAGGCUGGACUUGUCUUCCUCUUGCUCCAGACCUCGACCCCAUAUGAAGCAAGGCAAGUACAUCCCACCAGGCAGCCAUCACUAAUCAGCUGGGUGCUCUUCUGUCUCUGACCAGUGGGUGAGACCCAGCUGCCUCUAUCUACAGACACUGGAUUCCAAUGAUCCUAUCUGAAUCUGCCUCUGAAGAUCUAGGCUGCAGUUUUUAUGUACAGUAAGUUUCAAAGGAACAUAUGAGUAUAGGGUAUGCCAAUGAGGCAGUGAGUGAGUAUUUUCAAGGGCUUCUCAUGUGGUACUGCAUUGGUGACUUUCUUAACUAGGGUUGCCAGGGGUCUGUUUUUUGACCGGAACUCUCGGUUGAAAAGGGACUCUGGCAGCUCCAGUUGGCAUCGCUGACUGGGCCAUUAAAAGUCUGGUUGGUAGCACAGUAGAAGCCUGGGGCUAAGGCAGGGUCCCUACCUGCCCUGACUCCACGUUGCUCCCUGCGGCCCCUAGGUCCUGGGGCGGUCAGGGACUGUGAGGCUCCGCGCGCUGUCCCCACCCCGAAUACUGGCUCUGCAGCUCCCAUUGGCUGGGAACCGUGACCAAUGGGAGCUGAGGGGGGCGGUGCCUGCAGGAGCAAAGGCAGCGUGCACCGCACAGAGCUGCCUGGCCACCCAAGAGGCAGCCACUUCCUUGGAGCCACAGUAAGUGAUCCAACCAGGUUUACACAAUAUUUUUUUUCUUGCCUGUAGGAACAGGGGGAGGGGGAAAUGGCAUGAUCCUGUUUCAGCCAGGAAUGGAAGUUAAAAUAUAGGUUCCUAACAUGUCCCUUUAUGUCCACAAAGAGAAGGAGGCAGGGAGGAGACUCUUACAACAUGGUUAGGUACAAACUAGGUAUUGCAACUGUUUAAAACUUAUACUGUAGUUGGGAGGGCCUUUGGGUUUGCAACAAAUGAUAGUUCUGAAAAAGCUAGUGUCAAAACACAGCCACAUGCCUCACACUGGGCACUGAAAACAUUUCAAAGCGGGGUUGAUCAGAGCGCUACAGAACUUUUAGUACACAAGAGCAGGGACCACACAAACACUUACUGUGUGGCAAGCUAGUGGUGCAAUGCAGAUUUAUACCCCAGCCUGCCAUGAACUAUGUCUACAUUACAGAGCUACAGCUCCAGUACUGCAGCUGUGAUGCCACAGUGUAGGCACUUUCUACAUCAAUGGAAGGGCUUUUCCCAUCAAUGUAGGUAAUCCACUCCUCUGAGAGAUGGUAGCUAGUUUGAUGGAAGAAUUCUUCCAUCAAACUAGCUGCAUCUACAGUGGAAGUUAGGUCACCCUAACUACAUUGCACAAGGCGUGAAAUUUUUCAUAGUCCUCCUAAGCAAUGUACUAGGUCAACCCGAGUUUUAGGUGUAGACCAGACCUACAUAUUCCUAUAGACAAGCCAUCAAAUACUGCAACAAUGGGAAUGAUAUUAAAAUCUCAUCACUUUCUGACCUAAAAGACCAGCAAUACAUCACAUUCCUCUUGACAUGGGUUACACUGAGAGAGAAUGUGGUGGUAAGCUGUUGAAAUGUUAUGUCCACACACAAAGCUUGUCCAGCUGGUUUCCACACAUUCUAAAAACUGUUUUGGUAGUAGGUCUAGGAACCUCAUCAGUCUGAACCAUUUCAAUUUGAGUUGUUUUAGUGCCAGUUUGGACAUGGACUAGCUGAAACAGUUCAAGUAGUCCUCUCAGAUGUCCCACAGCAUUUGGGUAGCUUUCACAGAACAGGUAUACCCCAUCACCCCUAUAAUGGUACUAUGUCCCUGCAGUCAAGUUCAAAUAACUGCCUCUUCUCAGGGCGGUGCAACCUAAUGGUCUGAGUCGGGGCGGGAACUGCUCUUAGAUUCCAGGCAGCAAGGCCUACUGGCCUAAUUCUGUGAGGAGGGCCCUGUAGUUCAGAGACGUCUGGGAAAAUGUCCAGCAUCAGUGGGCAUCCCUAGAGUCAGGGCACUCUGGCCCAGAGGCCAUCGGACCACCCCUCAGCGCAGGUCUGUAUGGCCUAGCCCCCAGGGUCUGUGGGGCCGCCCUCCUGUGCAAGGUAUACAAUUCAAAUAAAUUUGGAAUUUUCAAUGUGUUCUUAUUUUAAUGACACACUUGAUAUUUUUCCUAACAGAAUGUAAAUAUCAUUAGAAAUUUAAAUCAAACAAUUUGCAAUGUAUAUAUGUUAUAUUUAGUAGGGCUGUCAAUUAAUCGCAGGUAACUCACACGAUUAACUCUAAAAAAUUUAAUAACUCGUGAUUAAAAAAUUAAUCAUAAUUAAUUGCAGUUUUAAUCGCACUGUUAAACAAUAG